GGUAGUUUAGCUUAAUCGGUCAAAGCAUCGUGACGCGUAAUCACGGGGAUGUGAGUUCGAGUCCCACAGCUAACC
rnacentral:tRNA from 1 species